rnacentral:rRNA from 1 species
AGGGCACCACCAGGAGUGGAGCCUGCGGCUUAAUUUGACUCAACACGGGAAAUCUCACCAGGCCCGGACACUGGAAGGAUUGACAGAUUGAGAGCUCUUUCUCGAUUCGGUGGGUGGUGGUGCAUGGCCGUUCUUAGUUGGUGGAGUGAUUUGUCUGGUUAAUUCCGAUAACGAACGAGACUCUGUCCUGCUAAAUAGUUCCCGCGUCCUUUGUUGCGCGGGAAAUUCUUCUUAGAGGGACUGGCGGCGUCUAGCCGCACGAGAUUGAGCAAUAACAGGUCUGUGAUGCCCUUAGAUGUUCUGGGCCGCACACGCGCUACACUGAAGGGAUCAGCGUGUCUUCCCUUUCCGAGAGGAACGGGUAACCCGCUGAACCCCCUUCGUGGUAGGGAUCGGGGCUUGCAAUUAUUCCCCGUGAACCAGGAAUUCCCAGUAAGCGCAAGUCAUAAGCUUGCGUUGAUUACGUCCCUGCCCUUUGUACACACCGCCCGUCGCUACUACCGAUUGGACGUUUUAGUG